AUUGAACGCUGGCGGCAGGCCUAACACAUGCAAGUCGAACGGUAACAGGAAGAAGCUUGCUUCUUUGCUGACGAGUGGCGGACGGGUGAGUAAUGUCUGGGAAACUGCCUGAUGGAGGGGGAUAACUACUGGAAACGGUAGCUAAUACCGCAUAACGUCGCAAGACCAAAGAGGGGGACCUUCGGGCCUCUUGCCGUCGGAUGUGCCCAGAUGGGAUUAGCUAGUAGGUGGGGUAACGGCUCACCUAGGCGACGAUCCCUAGCUGGUCUGAGAGGAUGACCAGCCACACUGGAACUGAGACACGGUCCAGACUCCUACGGGAGGCAGCAGUGGGGAAUAUUGCACAAAGGGCGCAAGCCUGAUGCAGCCAUGCCGCGUGUAUGAAGAAGGCCUUCGGGUUGUAAAGUACUUUCAGCGGGGAGGAAGGGAGUAAAGUUAAUACCUUUGCUCAUUGACGUUACCCGCAGAAGAAGCACCGGCUAACUCCGUG
rnacentral:rRNA from 1 species